rnacentral:rRNA from 1 species
UGGGGAAUAUUGGACAAUGGGCGAAAGCCUGAUCCAGCCAUGCCGCGUGUGUGAAGAAGGUCUUCGGAUUGUAAAGCACUUUAAGUUGGGAGGAAGGGCAGUAAGUUAAUACCUUGCUGUUUUGACGUUACCAACAGAAUAAGCACCGGCUAACUUCGUGNCAGCAGCCGCGGUAAUACGAAGGGUGCAAGCGUUAAUCGGAAUUACUGGGCGUAAAGCGCGCGUAGGUGGUUCAGCAAGUUGGAUGUGAAAUCCCCGGGCUCAACCUGGGAACUGCAUCCAAAAACUACUGAGCUAGAGUACGGUAGAGGGUGGUGGAAUUUCCUGUGUAGCGGUGAAAUGCGUAGAUAUAGGAAGGAACACCAGUGGCGAAGGCGACCACCUGGGACUGAUACUGACACUGAGGUGCGAAAAGCGUGGGGAGCAAACAGGAUUAGAUACCCUGGUAGUCCACGCCGUAAACGAUGUCGACUAGCGUUGGGAUCCUUGAGAUCUUAGUUGCGCAGCUAACGCGAUAAGUCGACCGCCUGGGGAGUACGGCCGCAAGGUUA